rnacentral:rRNA from 1 species
GGGUUGUGAGGUUAAGCGACUAAGCGUACACGGUGGAUGCCCUGGCAGUCAGAGGCGAUGAAGGGCGUGCUAAUCUGCGAUAAGCGCCGGUAAGGUGAUAUGAACCGUUAUAACCGGCGAUACCCGAAUGGGGAAACCCAGUGUGACUCGUCACACUAUCAUUAACUGAAUCCAUAGGUUAAUGAGGCGAACCGGGGGAACUGAAACAUCUAAGUACCCCGAGGAAAAGAAAUCAACCGAGAUUCCCCAGUAGCGGCGAGCGAACGGGGAGGAGCCCAGAGCCUGAAUCAGCAUGUGUGUUAGUGGAAGCGUCUGGAAAGGCGCGCGAUACAGGGUGACAGCCCCGUACACAAAAGCGCAUGUGCUGUGAGCUCGAUGAGUAGGGCGGGACACGUGGUAUCCUGUCUGAAUAUGGGGGGACCAUCCUCCAAGGCUAAAUACUCCUGACUGACCGAUAGUGAACCAGUACCGUGAGGGAAAGGCGAAAAGAACCCCGGCGAGGGGAGUGAAAAAGAACCUGAAACCGUGUACGUACAAGCAGUGGGAGCACAGGUUUACCUGUGUGACUGCGUACCUUUUGUAUAAUGGGUCAGCGACUUAUAUUCUGUAGCAAGGUUAACCGAAUAGGGGAGCCGGAGGGAAACCGAGUCUUAAUUGGGCGUUAAGUUGCAGGGUAUAGACCCGAAACCCGGUGAUCUAGCCAUGGGCAGGUUGAAGGUUGGGUAACACUAACUGGAGGACCGAACCGACUAAUGUUGAAAAAUUAGCGGAUGACCUGUGGCUGGGGGUGAAAGGCCAAUCAAACCGGGAGAUAGCUGGUUCUCCCCGAAAGCUAUUUAGGUAGCGCCUCGUGAAUUCAUCUCCGGGGGUAGAGCACUGUUUCGGCUAGGGGGCCAUCCCGGCUUACCAACCCGAUGCAAACUGCGAAUACCGGAGAAUGUUAUCACGGGAGACACACGGCGGGUGCUAACGUCCGUCGUGAAGAGGGAAACAACCCAGACCGCCAGCUAAGGUCCCAAAGUCAUGGUUAAGUGGGAAACGAUGUGGGAAGGCCCAGACAGCCAGGAUGUUGGCUUAGAAGCAGCCAUCAUUUAAAGAAAGCGUAAUAGCUCACUGGUCGAGUCGGCCUGCGCGGAAGAUGUAACGGGGCUAAACCAUGCACCGAAGCUGCGGCAGCGACGCUUAUGCGUUGUUGGGUAGGGGAGCGUUCUGUAAGCCUGUGAAGGUGGCCUGUGAGGGUUGCUGGAGGUAUCAGAAGUGCGAAUGCUGACAUAAGUAACGAUAAAGCGGGUGAAAAGCCCGCUCGCCGGAAGACCAAGGGUUCCUGUCCAACGUUAAUCGGGGCAGGGUGAGUCGACCCCUAAGGCGAGGCCGAAAGGCGUAGUCGAUGGGAAACAGGUUAAUAUUCCUGUACUUGGUGUUACUGCGAAGGGGGGACGGAGAAGGCUAUGUUGGCCGGGCGACGGUUGUCCCGGUUUAAGCGUGUAGGUGUGUGUUCCAGGUAAAUCCGGUUCACUUUAACACUGAGGCGUGAUGACGAGGCACUACGGUGCUGAAGCAACAAAUGCCCUGCUUCCAGGAAAAGCCUCUAAGCAUCAGGUAACAUCAAAUCGUACCCCAAACCGACACAGGUGGUCAGGUAGAGAAUACCAAGGCGCUUGAGAGAACUCGGGUGAAGGAACUAGGCAAAAUGGUGCCGUAACUUCGGGAGAAGGCACGCUGACACGUAGGUGAAGUGAUUUACUCAUGGAGCUGAAGUCAGUCGAAGAUACCAGCUGGCUGCAACUGUUUAUUAAAAACACAGCACUGUGCAAACACGAAAGUGGACGUAUACGGUGUGACGCCUGCCCGGUGCCGGAAGGUUAAUUGAUGGGGUCAGCGCAAGCGAAGCUCCUGAUCGAAGCCCCGGUAAACGGCGGCCGUAACUAUAACGGUCCUAAGGUAGCGAAAUUCCUUGUCGGGUAAGUUCCGACCUGCACGAAUGGCGUAAUGAUGGCCAGGCUGUCUCCACCCGAGACUCAGUGAAAUUGAACUCGCUGUGAAGAUGCAGUGUACCCGCGGCAAGACGGAAAGACCCCGUGAACCUUUACUAUAGCUUGACACUGAACAUUGAGCCUUGAUGUGUAGGAUAGGUGGGAGGCUUUGAAGCGUGGACGCCAGUCUGCGUGGAGCCGACCUUGAAAUACCACCCUUUAAUGUUUGAUGUUCUAACGUGGACCCGUAAUCCGGGUUGCGGACAGUGUCUGGUGGGUAGUUUGACUGGGGCGGUCUCCUCCUAAAGAGUAACGGAGGAGCACGAAGGUUGGCUAAUCCUGGUCGGACAUCAGGAGGUUAGUGCAAUGGCAUAAGCCAGCUUGACUGCGAGCGUGACGGCGCGAGCAGGUGCGAAAGCAGGUCAUAGUGAUCCGGUGGUUCUGAAUGGAAGGGCCAUCGCUCAACGGAUAAAAGGUACUCCGGGGAUAACAGGCUGAUACCGCCCAAGAGUUCAUAUCGACGGCGGUGUUUGGCACCUCGAUGUCGGCUCAUCACAUCCUGGGGCUGAAGUAGGUCCCAAGGGUAUGGCUGUUCGCCAUUUAAAGUGGUACGCGAGCUGGGUUUAGAACGUCGUGAGACAGUUCGGUCCCUAUCUGCCGUGGGCGCUGGAGAACUGAGGGGGGCUGCUCCUAGUACGAGAGGACCGGAGUGGACGCAUCACUGGUGUUCGGGUUGUCAUGCCAAUGGCACUGCCCGGUAGCUAAAUGCGGAAGAGAUAAGUGCUGAAAGCAUCUAAGCACGAAACUUGCCCCGAGAUGAGUUCUCCCUGAGACUUAAAGUCUCCUGAAGGAACGUUGAAGACGACGACGUUGAUAGGCCGGGUGUGUAAGCGCAGCGAUGCGUUGAGCUAACCGGUACUAAUGAACCGUGAGGCUUAACCUUACAACGCCGAAG